rnacentral:rRNA from 1 species
UACGUAGGGGGCUAGCGUUGUCCGGAUUUAUUGGGCGUAAAGAGCGUGUAGGCGGCUUGGCAAGUCUGCUGUGAAAACUCGAGGCUCAACCUCGAGCUGUCGGUGGAAACUGCUUGGCUAGAGUCCGGAAGAGGAGAGUGGAAUUCCUGGUGUAGCGGUGAAAUGCGCAGAUAUCAGGAAGAACACCCGUGGCGAAGGCGGUUCUCUGGGACGGUACUGACGCUGAGACGCGAAAGCGUGGGGAGCGAACAGG